CUUGCAUUUAUCCACAUUAAAUGUUAGUUGCCACAGCUCUGACCAUUUUUCUAGUUUACCUAAAUCAUUUGUGUGUUGGGACCUUCUUACUCUAUUUGUUGUUUUAACUUUUUGUCCAAGAAAUAUUUUUAGUUUUAUCAACUCCUUUGGCGGUUCUGUUCUCUCCACCAUCAGUUCCUGAAAGACUGUGGACCUUGACUGUAACAGUGAA